GAGAAAUAUGCUUGGGCUUGGACAUAGGACCAAAUAAAAACAACAUGGUUCAAAUAGGGUGCAUUGCUGAAGGUGUAGGGUGCAUAAUGUGUUUUCAUAGGCCAAAAGCCUUAGGCCCACGCGCUGAAGUAAGGCCAAUUGAGGAGGAUAGGGUUCAACACAUUCUUAAAAUAUUUUCUCUCCUAAAAUUACAUGGUCUGAGAAUGACAUCUCCGAUGCGCCAAAAUUCGCCACCGACGGCGGCGGAGGCUCAAACCUCACAGUAUGAACAUCGUUCUCUUCAUCUCAUCAUCUCAUAUUAGGGCUUUUAUUCCUUAAGCCAACCACUAGAUAUUGGUAACUUAGGUAAGGAGAAAAGAAGUGACGACCCUACCUAUGAUGAGGAGGAGUUCCUCAGUGAGUGUUGAAUUCAGAGUAAAUAUGCGAAGAUGAAGACCCUUCAGGACUGAUGUGCAUAUGGGAUGGCUUGGCAUGGUUGUUGGCAAGGCAUGGUGUGUUGGUAUGGCAUGAUCAAGGUAGGCAUGGCAUGUUCAAAGUUGAAAUUAUGGAAAUGAAGAAUAUUGAAGUCAUUGAAGCACUUAGAGGCAUAUAUGAAGGAUCAAGGAUGAUGAAGGCCAAAGAGUUUAUUAGGGUUUAGGAUCAGUUUGACUUUGGUCAACUGUUUGACCAAAAAGUCAACUCUAUAUCAAAUAUAGGUUUUUGUGUGUGUAUGAAAUCUUCUAAUUGGCCUUUUGUAAUGAAAUGGAUGUUUGUAAUGAAGUUUUUUGAUUGUAAUGUAACUUGUUUUCCAA